CGGGCUUGGCAGAAUCAG
rnacentral:snRNA from 1 species